UGUACUGAAACCCACUGGCUUGACUGCACGAACUGAAGUCCGCAUAGGCCGAUGCCAAGCUCGACGUGUCCAUCCCGGCCAUACAUGACUCGUAGGCAGAGGAAUUUAGUGGACGGAGUUCAAGUCUCUGUUAGAGAUGCGGAUUCUGCUCUGAAUUACCGGAACACGAAACGCAGCGGAUUCCGUUCAGCAGAGCAGAUGACGGCGCGUCAAACCCUCAGCUAAGGUUCAUGCAGGACAGCGAGCCUUCAAAUGGGUCACAUGAAACACCGCGAAGGCGGCUGUCACACAGACAGCUCUCAGAGCGGGAGAGAAGCUGCUGGUACCGGGGGAAUCUCUGUAUAAUCUCAUGAACUCUGAAUGGAAACGUGAUUACUGAUGUUUUAGUAGAACUCUUCAUGAUAAAUAAACCUGAUCUCUCAACACCACUUGUGUCUUCCAUGCAUUGUAAAUGACAGAAACACAGACACUGGUCCAUGUAGCAAUCAGGCUAAAAGCAUUAGCUGAAAGCUCCUCCUACACACGGCCUCGACAUCGAGCUCAGGAUCACAUUGUUGGACAGCCUACAAGCAGGGAAUGCCCGAGCAGGCAGCCGUCUCCUCCUGCAGUGGAUCUCUGUCUGCAGGCGUAACAAGCAAGCGAGCUCCGCCAGCCCCGGACUGCUGGCUGCUGGCAGACAGAGAGGUGUCACCGGCAAAACAAUCCCUGAUUCACUUCCGUUGUGGCU